GGGCUCAUAGCUCAGUUGGUUAGAGCGUUUGCUUGACAUGCAAAAGGUCAGAGGUUCGAGUCCUCUUGGGCCCA
rnacentral:tRNA from 1 species